rnacentral:lncRNA from 1 species
CAUAACUAACAUGCCUGUAUCCAUGUUGUGUCCCAACCAUCCAUUUCACAUCCAUGCUACGUACUACAUGGCGCAUUACAGUUACAGAGCGUACAUAUAUACUACGUUUGGCCAACAAACAUUCGUCCGUCCACAUCACGGGCGAUCCCACAUCGCCACCAGCAGGUCAUGGGCUCAUGGCGCGCGUCCCUAUCGGUCUUAGUCACACCCUCCUCCACUAUCUCCAUUACGUGAUCGAUCAAGAGUGAUCCCACAAGCUCACGGCGCCCUCAUCCUCAGCUUCCGCGUAGUACGACGCCGCCGAGCAACCGUCUG